rnacentral:rRNA from 1 species
GAUGAACGCUGGCGGCGUGCCUAAUACAUGCAAGUCGAGCGAACGGACGAGAAGCUUGCUUCUCCGAUGUUAGCGGCGGACGGGUGAGUAACACGUGGAUAACCUACCUAUAAGACUGGGAUAACUUCGGGAAACCGUAGCUAAUACCGGAUAAUAUUUUGAACCGCAUGGUUCAAAAGUGAAAGACGGUCUUGCUGUCACUUAUAGAUGGAUCCGCGCUGCAUUAGCUAGUUGGUAAGGUAACGGCUUACCAAGGCAACGAUGCAUAGCCGACCUGAGAGGGUGAUCGGCCACACUGGAACUGAGACACGGUCCAGACUCCUACGGGAGGCAGCAGUAGGGAAUCUUCCGCAAUGGGCGAAAGCCUGACGGAGCAACGCCGCGUGAGUGAUGAAGGUCUUCGGAUCGUAAAACUCUGUUAUUAGGGAAGAACAUAUGUGUAAGUAACUGUGCACACCUUGACGGUACCUAAUCAGAAAGCCACGGCUAACUACGUG